ACCCCUUCGCCCCCUCGCCAUCGGCACAAGAGUCUUCCUGCAGAACCAGCAGGGCCCUCACCCGAACAAGUGGGACAGAUCAGGGGUAGUCGUCGAAGCAGCAGGACACGAUCAAUACCGUGUGAAGGUAGAUGGCUCCGGACGCGUAACACUACGAAACCGCCGCUUCCUACGUGCGUACACACCAGCCUUACCAACCAUACCACAGGCGCCGUCAGGGGCCCCAGCAAAGACGCCAUCAAUGGCUCCAGACGCCCCAUCCCCGCCCUCUCAAACAUGUCACCAUACUAAUAGGACGGCGACACCAGCCACCACACCAGGUGUUCCCACCCCUGACCUCGCCACAGCCGCCCUAGCACUACAAGUAUCGCCUGAAGAACCUGACGCUGCUGAAGAGAAGCAAGGACCCUCAACACCUGAAGCGAUGACUCUGCCAUCCCCACCCAACGCAGCGGCACGCCCCCGUCGCACCAUACGACGACCCAAACAGUUUGAACCUGAGACAGGGACAUGGACCGAAUGAGUCCUCACCCCUAUGCCCCACCAUCAUUGUGACAUUGGUCCUCGGACUGGGGGGGAUGAAGGGACUACCUCUGACCGAUCCGAUGGCUCAAGAAGACCGCUGACAGGUCUCCCCGGUCGGCCAUCUUGGAUCACGGUCAUUCGUUAUGCUCCGAGAUACAGAGACACACUGACUCUUAUUCAAUCGUAUCAUCGUUUGUGAUUAAAGACCAUAAACAAUCAA